rnacentral:rRNA from 1 species
UACAAAGGGGGCAAGCGUUAUUCGGAAUUAUUGGGCGUAAAGGGCGCGUAGGCGGUUCUUCAAGUCUCUCGUGAAAUCCCUCGGCUUAACUGAGGACGUGCGGGAGAUACUGAAGGGCUUGAGUCCGGAAGAGGGUGGUGGAAUUCCCAGUGUAGCGGUGAAAUGCGUAGAUAUUGGGAGGAACGACCGGUGGCGAAGGCGGCCACCUGGGCCGGAACUGGACGCUGAGGCGCGAAAGCGUGGGGAGCGAACAGG